GAUGAACGCUGGCGGCGUGCCUAAUACAUGCAAGUCGAGCGAACAGAUGAGGAGCUUGCUCCUCUGACGUUAGCGGCGGACGGGUGAGUAACACGCGGAUAACCUACCUAUAAGACUGGGAUAACUUCGGGAAACCGGAGCUUAUACCGGAUAAUCUAUUGAACCGCAUGGUUCAAUAGUGAAAGACGGUUUUGCUGUCACUUAUCGAUGGUUCCCCGCUGCAUUAGCUAGUUGUUAAGUUAACGGCUUACCAAGGCAACGAUGCGUAGCCGACCGCAUAGGGGGGUCGGCGACACUGGAGCGUGAACGCGGUCAAGGCUCCUGAGGGAGGGAGCAGAAGGGUAUCUGCCGCAGUAGGCGAAAGCCUGACAGAGCGACGCCGCGUGAGUGGUAGAAGUCUUCGGAUCGUAAAACUCUGUUAUUAGGGGAGAACAAAUGUGUAAGUAGCUGUGCACGUCUUGACGGUACCUAGUCAGAAAGCCACGGCUAACUACGUG
rnacentral:rRNA from 1 species